ACACACACACUUCCCGGUCUCUCAGCCGGAGCUAUCCCUCUCCCUAGCCCUCAGAUCCAAUCUGUCGUCUAGCCUCCCAUCUCCCUUCACAACUUCUCUAAUAGAAAUCCCCUUCUCUGCUCCCUUCGUCCCUUCUCUGGGCUUUUGUAAUCGGUCUCCGCUUCUCAGCUCAUUGCUCUCCCUCCUUCACAACCCUGCCAAAGUCAUUUUCCAAUAGCAGAGCACUAGCCCUGUCAUCCCCUUACUCUGGAAACCUGUGGGGCUCCCAUUGCAUUCAAGAGCAGACAGAAGCUUCUCUGUUGGAAGCUCUUUACAACUGGCCCUUUCAGCUUUUUUAGUCUUCGUUUGCUUGAUUCCUUUCAAUACCCUCUUAAUAUUUAGUCAUGUUAGUCUGCUUGCUCCUCCAUGCUUUUGUAUUGGCUUUCCCCCAUGUCUAGAAAGGUCUCCCUCCUCACUUUCCCCCGUCCACCAAAUGACUUGAUGGUCAUCUUCCUCUGUAGUUAUCUUCCAUCCACUCAUAUGUCUUACAUGCACCUAAUUAUUCACAUUCUGUCUUCCUGCUAGAAUAUAAGCUUCAUGAGGGUAGGAGCUGCUUUUCCCUUUCUUUGUAUUUCCAGAUUUUUAGCACAUAGUAAUGUGAAAAAUACUGAAAAGUUGGGUUUCUACAGAGUGUUGCAAGCUUGGAGAUAGUGUAGAAUAGUCAGUACCACUAACCAAGAGGUUUUCAGGACCUGAGAGGUUAAGAAAGGCUAAGAUUCUACAGAACAAUUAAGUAAAUAAUGGAAGCCUUAAGUAAACAAGAAAUUGGGGAGCUAGGAAAAGUGGACUCAGCCCAUCAGAAAGUCUUGUGAUUUUGAGAAAAUCACAAUUUAAGAUUAAUAGCCAAUCCAGCCCAAUCUACUUGGACUGACUUGACCAAAUCACUAUUGCACCUGCUUAAUAGGCUAACUGAAUGUUAAACAACACACCCCAUAAGAGGAGUUUUUUGCCAUUUUUUGAAUAGGGGAUGUAUGAUGAGGAAGGGGAAACAUAUUUAUACAUAUUUAGGGGGAAACAUGUAGUGAGUGUAUCAGAAAGUUUGUAACCCAGAAGAGGACUGACUAAUCUGUCUCUGAAGGGAGGAACUGUACCAAACUAAUAAGUAGAAACUUUCUCUACCUUUCUGUGCUCUUCCUGAAGAAGACGGGAGCCUACUUCUAGGCAGACAUUAAUAUGAUUCUUGAAGAUUCUUCUUUAAUAGAUUUUCCUUGAUAUCUGCUUUUCAGCAUCAAGAGUUGUUUUUUUUUUUUUUUUUUUUAAUAAUUUUGUUCGCCAACAUAUGAUUUGACUUGUGGACCUCAGACCCUUUAGGAAGAGCACUCCCAUUGAGUUCAACAGUCUGGAGGUUGAACCCCUGGUCCUUUCAAAUUCAGGACUUCCUGUUUGGAAUUGCCUUGAGAUAGCCAGAAGAAACUUAACGAUCAGAACAUGGAAGAGCUUUGAGUGCCAAGCUUGGAUCCAAUUCCAGCCUCUCUCACUUCACAGCUGGAUGACCAGACACAUCCCUCCCCUUUUUAAGGGUUUCAGUUUCCUCAUCUGUAUAAUGGAGAGAAGGUUAUACUUGGUAUAGUAUUGUAGUGCUCAUCCCACAGAAUCAUUAUCAAGUUUAAAAGAGACAAUCUCUUUACAUGGCUCAUGAGCCAAAAAAGCCAAAGAUUUGGGAGCCUUACACAAAGUCCAAUUGUGACUAAUGAUAGACUGAUGGGCUGAAUUGUUGAAAUCACCUAAAUGGGGGAAUCUUUAUCAUUUAAAUGUUGAACUCCACUCACAGAACGAGAUGAUGUUCUUGGUCACAUAGUAAUUCCCUGCACCAGUUCAUACCACAUCUCCCCUGUACAAUGAACUCCUUUGGCUCCUAAAAAGGCUCGAGGUGCUAGAGAGCCACAUAAAGCACUUGGAUGGCACCAUGUAACUAGGUUUGGGCAGAAGGGAAUUCAAAUGCUGCCUUAGAAAGAUAUUGGUGCUGUAAUAGAGGCAAGUCUCUAUUUCUUCUGUUUCUUCGUCUGCAAAAUGGGAUUAAUAAUAGCAUCUGCCUUCAAAGUUUGUGAUGAAGAUUAAUUGGAAUGAUGUUUAUAAAGCACGACAUAAAUGCAAGCUGUUAUUACAAACUUUUCCUUUAGAUGUUUAAAACCUUUCACAGCCUUUCAGGCUUAUUGUACAUGACCUCUUUCAUGAACUCUCUGGUACUUUCUUGCUAAACAUCAUACAUGACAUUUCACCUCCUGUUUCCCUACUUUUAAAGAAAGUUGUCCCCCAUUCCUGGAGUGUGCUUGCUCUUCACUUUUACCUCUUAGCAACUCUCCUGAGCUUCAAAGUUCAGCAGGAAAGCCAUCUCCUUAUGAGACCCUUCUAGAUCCCUCAGCUCUGGUAGCAUAUAUCAAAUUACCUUGUAUUUAUUUUGUAUAUAUAUAUGUGUGUGUGUACAUAGUCUACCCCUAUAAAAUGUCAGCUCCUUGAGGGGAGGACUCACUUAUUUUUCUUUUUUUAUCCUUAGCACCUAGCAUCGUACCUGACAUAUAUUUAAUAAAUAUUUGUUGAUUUGAUUGACCCACUGUUAUUUCAUCUUUGAAAUAAAGUAAGAUCUUUCAAGACAAUUGUGAAAAUCGAGUAAGGCUUCAUCUAUUUCAAAGUUUGAGUAGGCCUGAAGGACUUUAAGCAUUAAGUCAAGGGCAUACUUAAAGUGUCUCCUCCCUGCUAUCCUCUUAAGGGCAUACUUAAAGUCUCCUCCCUUCUAUCUUAAAGACAUUAAAGUCUCCAGGCUAUCCCCUCCCUGUUAUCCCCUAAGAGCAUACUUAAAUCCCUUUCUUGUUAUCCUCCCUAUUUCAGCCAAAUAUGGGCAACUAUGUACUUAAUGGUCAAGUUCAAUUUCUUGGGUAGUUCCCGAAUUUAGAAUGUAAGAUCCUCAGCCAGUAAGGAUGAGGGUCAGUGGUGGGAGGGGGAAUUUGCUUUAGGGAUUAAAAGCAUUGACCCUGCCCUCCCUUCGAUUGUCUGCUGGAUCAGUAGGAUACCCAAUUCUUGCGAGAACAUAUAAUAAACUUUGCUUUGCUUCUAGAGAUCUCUUCAGUCUCUUUUUAUUAAAUGAUUUCUGACUGACACAUUUUUAUAUGGACGUGUUUUCUCCCUCGAUAGGACACCUUCCUUGAAGGCAGAACUUGUUUCAUUUUUGUCUUUGUAUUUCCGGUGCAUGGCACUAGGAACGUAGAGGGCACUUAAUAAAUGCCGGUUAAGUGAUUAUGUUAUGCCACAGUUCUCUUUAACUGUCCUGACUCAGUUUCCCUGUCCCAGUUUCAUUUACUGUUCUGUCUCUUCUGCUCUCGGGUUAUAAAUUAGCAAGAUAAAAGAGUAGAUCUCCUGAUUCUUUUAUGGAUUUACAAUAUUCCUUUAGAAUAUUCCAAGAUUAACCCAUGAUAUCUUUACUUCUUUGUCUCUGGAAUUUUUAGGUUUUAUGGCUUCCUCUCCCUGAUAAAAACUUUCCCUCCCUUUCUCUUCUUUGUCUCCAAAAAGGUAUUUGAGAAGUUGGGGUUCUUCCAUUCAUGGCUGGAGUAUGGCAGCUGGCAGUUGUAUGCUGGACGCUGGAUUCUUUGGGUCCUCCAGCCCUGGGACCAAUAUGGAUUCCUUGGUCCCAGUAUACUUAUCUCUGUCUGACUGGAUAAUCUGAGACGAGAGUCCUGUCCAGUCAAUCUUACUCUCCCAUUAAUAAAAUAUUAAAACUCUCUAA